CCGGGUUGGGAUGUUGAGAGCUCGGGCGGAGGGGAGGAAAAGAGCAGGGCUGGGAGUGAGCGGCACAGUAUAGCCAGCGUCACCCUUUUACGGGGACUCUCUCUCUAUCGCUGUAGCGACCAGAGAGGCCAGAGGACCCCUUAAAAAUCCGCUCUGCUAAGCCCCGGGGACGACCUCCUUCGCGCCUUCGGAUUGGGCCCACGAACCGGCCUGGGCUUUCCCAUUGGUGGCUGGCGCCCCGAGCUCAGCGCACAGCUUGCCGGGAGUUGUAGGAGCGGCGGCGUCUUAGUGCCAAAGGCUUCCGACGUGACGACCGACGUUUCUGCUCAGCCGGCGUGAGCCCGGAGCUCCCCUCGGGGCCUGCCCAGCUUAUUUUAGUUCAGGAAUCCCUCAAGCCUAGAGUUCCGGCUACAAGAGCUUCAUUUCCCGGGGCAAGGGCCCUGAGGCCCUGGUUCUGUGGCCCCGUCUGGUUGACUGUUGAACCGAGGGGUGGCGGUUGGGGAGCUCGGCUCCUCGGCGUCUGGGGCUGGAGAAGCCGUUGUUUCCCUUCGGGGCCAGGGCCGCGGAAGUUCUGAGGGCGUAAGGGUUUGUCCCCCAGGACGCUCCAGUUCUGUACACCAGAAACGGAGCACGUUUGUCCUGCCGUUUUGAUCAUGGCGGAGGGCCCGUGACUGGUCACCGUGGAGGGGGGAGGAUGUCGACGAGGGAUGGACGCUUUGUGGGCUCACAGACUGAUGGCGAAGAUGAACGCGUCAGGCAGCCUUGACAGUUUCUCUGUCUCCUCCUCUCAGUGUCCGUACCAGGAGUCUCCUCGUUCGGCCCUGUGGGGGCUUGGCCACACCUGGGAUCCGGGACCCGUAACUCCUCAAUUUCCAGAAAUGGUGUACUUGAGGCUGGACAAGAAAGAACAUAUAAACUGGUCUCAGAAGACAUUUUGUAUAUGUGCUGCCGAAGCGAGCACUCAGAAGACAUUUUGGAUCAACUGUGAAAGACUUCACCUCAGCAGAUUACAGUCCUCUUCUGAAGUCUCAGACGUAGUCCCGGAAGGACUGUUGAGAACACACAAGGUGGUGUCGCCAGAACCGGUUAGGAGAGGCUUGAGAUUCCACUGCUAGACCCUCCAUGACCCAGGGAGGGGCUGCGGUGGGAAAUGGCCCCAAGUGUAACUGAGGCAACAUCCCAGUCUCCCUCAGGCAGAAGAGCCGUCGUCACACGUAGCAGCGAAUCCGCAGGAGCAAAGAAGCUGAAAGCUUCCAAUGCCUCCUCAUAUUUUAAUACAUAUAAUUACAUGGUGGCCAAUAUUUAUAUAAUAUUUUAAGCCUCUGAUAGCACUUUUACACAUGACCAGACUCUUUCAGAAGUAGUAUGGGUUGGGACGACAGAUUUGAGCUUAAAUUCUGGUUCAACUUGCUGGUUGUGUGAUCUUAAGUAUGUUACUUAACCUCUCAGGACCUGUUUUCUCCUCUGUAAAAUGGUGAUGGUGAUGGUGAUGGGGCAAGGUGAUACCCGCCACAUAGGAUAAGGCUUGAAUGAGAAAAAUAUCUAGUAUGAUGUCUGACACAUAGGAGGCACUCAAUUUCCUUUCCUUCUCUAAAGGUAGCUAUUUGCAUCAGUUGACCUCAAACUUCCAGAGUAGUCAAAUGUGUAGAAAGGUAACAUAGUCUCUUCAGAUCUGUCUCAUGUCACACAGUGAUUCUUCACUGCAGUGAUGGGGGUGGGGGGAGUGAUGUCUGUCUGGUUAAAAAGCCCCUGCAUCCCCUGCCCCCAGACUUCCCUGCUGAGAAUCACUGGGCUACACUUUGAUAUCCCAAGUAUCUCUCAGUAAUUUAAUAUUGUUGUUUGAUAUUUUCACUCAUGGCUUUAUUUCAAUAAAGACUUGCCUUCAUGGGAGGGUAAGACAUGAAGCUAAUGAAAAA